rnacentral:rRNA from 1 species
GACGAACGCUGGCGGCGUGCUUAACACAUGCAAGUCGAACGGAAAGGCCCUGCUUUUGUGGGGUGCUCGAGUGGCGAACGGGUGAGUAACACGUGAGUAACCUGCCCUUGACUUUGGGAUAACUUCAGGAAACUGGGGCUAAUACCGGAUAGGAGCUCCUGCUGCAUGGUGGGGGUUGGAAAGUUUCGGCGGUUGGGGAUGGACUCGCGGCUUAUCAGCUUGUUGGUGGGGUAGUGGCUUACCAAGGCUUUGACGGGUAGCCGGCCUGAGAGGGUGACCGGCCACAGUGGGACUGAGAUACGGCCCAGACUCCUACGGGAGGCAGCAGUGGGGAAUAUUGCGCAAUGGGCGGAAGCCUGAUGCAGCAACGCCGCGUGCGGGAUGACGGCCUUCGGGUUGUAAACCGCUUUCGCCUGUGACGAAGCGUGAGUGACGGUAAUGGGUAAAGAAGCACCGGCUAACUACGUG